ensembl:snRNA U4 U4 spliceosomal RNA
AGCUUUGAACAGUGGCAGUACUAUAGUCAGUGAGGUUUAGCUGAGGCAUGAUUAUUACUAAAAAAAUAAUCUGUGGGUAUCUCUGUUGAUUUCUGUAUCUGAGAUUGUACA